GGCGGCGGCGUCCUGGAGGGCCCGGAGGUGGCGGUGUCCUGGAGGGCCCGGAGGCGGCGGCUCCUCAUCCAGUUAAGCUAAACUCUUCUCCAGUGCAUCAUGAACGGGGAGGAAUGCCCGGGGUUCAAAUAGAACCUGUGUCACAUUUCAGAAGAAAUGGGGCGACGUUGCGGAGGUCCAGGCGGUUGGCCCGGUGGAGGUCCUGGAGGAGACGGUCCCGGCGGUGGAGGACGGCUGGGGGAUCCGGAGGUGGAGGUCCGAAGGCGGCUCGUGAUUAGACCAACCAGCUCCUCAUCCAUGGAAGGAUUGAAGGAGUCACUGGGGAUGAAGAUCCUGGAUUGAAGGAGUCACUGGGGAUGAAGAUCACUGCUCAGGGGCUGACGACCACUCAUCUUUCCC